CUCCAGAGCCCCCGGGGUGGCUCCGGCCUCCCGCAGGCCCGGGCGCUCGCGCCUCGCUGAAAGCACCGGGCCGCAAGCUAGGGGCGCCCGCGGUGCGGCUGGGCUCCACACGGGCCGCGCUGCCGGGCCCCGGGGCCGGCCAAGCGCCAGAGGCGCGGCAGCCGCUCGCUCGGCCCUGCUGUGGUGAACCGCUGCGGGGCCUGAAAGGGAGCAAAGAGCAAUUACAGCAAAUAAUCCUGGACGCUCAGGGCACCAGGUGCUUUUAAAUCUCCAGCCACCGCACGGAACAGCUCUGUUGUCUCCUCGUUUUUUGCAGAAUUCGGCUCUCGCCAGGGCUCUGUCGGUGGCGGCUUCGAGCAGCCAGAAGUGUGGGCACCGCUGGCAGCACCAUGUGGCACCGGGCCCUGUGCGGAGAUGGGGCUUGGUGCUCUUGAUUGCUCUGCUGAGUUAAUGAGCCACAAGUCGGGGCAGUUUGUCUCACAGGCCUGGCACGCAGGUCACUUGCUCUGGAAGGGCUGAUGCCAGGCUUAAGAGCUGUGUCAUCUGUCGGAGCAAUUUGUUCUCAAGGAGGAAAGGAGAAGUUGUUUUCCUGAAGGAGCGGCUUGGCUGUGACCACAGAAGCACACUUAAGCCUGUAGCAGCAGGGAACAGGAUUUAUCCUAGUGCGAUCGUCAUGCCACGGGAGCUUGCACUGGGAAUAUGCAGGGCUGCCACUCAAGUACUUCCCAGCGCAGAUGGGACCUGGGUACAACACCCGCUUUGAACCAGCCCUGAAGUGGCCCGUCCACGUCGCUCUGUGGCUUGAAAAUGCCUUUGGCAGACUGGUGUCUGCAAAACACGAGGAGGUACAAGGAGGAUGGGGUGCAAAUCCUGGUCUGAAAAGAUGAGUGCUGGCUUUCAGAGAACCAGGGGGAGCAGGGAAGCUGCUGUCCUUAGAGCAGGAGGCUGGGGGUCCUAAGCACGGGCAGAGAGGGGAGAUGCUGCCUCCUGGGCUGAAUUGCACCCUCACACUGCGAGCAGGCUGCGUUCAGCUCCUCCUGCCAGGGUCUGGCACAGCAUGGCCAGCUGGUCACUUGCCCAAGGCUGCAACCUCCCAGGGCCGGCGGUGGAGGCAACAGCACGCCUGUUUGGCACAGAAACACAAAUCUGGGGACAAACCAGUGAAAGCACGUCCAGUGGAAACCCUCGUGCCCCGAGGUAGGGAGCGCCCAUGGCGUGGGCUGUGUGCUGGGGUCCUGGCGGGGUCCUGCGGGCAGCGCUGCCACUGCUCCCCGCCUAGACUGGGAGAUGGAGCUAGUUCCUGGCUAAGGUAGUGGGGGGGGGGGGGGGGGGGGGGGGCGCUGCAAAAAGCCCUGGCUGCCCCCCGCCCGCUCCCUCCCCGCGGUGCCCGCCCGCCGCCGCCAGGGGGCGCCCAUGCGCCCGGCAGCCGAGGGGGCGGUGCUGGCGCGGUACCGUGGCGCCGCCCCCGGGGGACAGAGCCCGGCCCGGGGCCACCCGCCGCCUCUCGGCCGCCGCUGGUGGCUGAACCGCCCCGUGCGCGGCAGCUCUCGCAGGAGUAACAACAGUUAAUGAAAGGGAGGGCCCCUUCCCCCCCGCAGGCUCCGGGCAGGCACCCCCGCUGAGGCUGCAUCCCCUGGCUCUUUGUGAUGGGCAAAAGUCACCCAGGUCUGCGGGGUAACGGAGCGUCUAAUGGGGAUCCGCUGCAAGGAUCAGCAGGUUUCACCGCAUCGUCCUGGUGUCAUCGCUGUCCCGCCAAUCUGCCAGGCUCUGGGAUGUCCAGUGCAUCUCCCGGGGUUGCUGCAGGAGGUGAUGUUUGUCGCUGGGGUGAAAGAUGGGGAGAAGUGGCACGCUUCUGCCCGGGUGAGAGAAGGGCUGUGCAAUAAUGCAGCCCCCGGGUGCCAUGCCACUGUGGUGUGUGAUGUAGUGCCCAAUCUGCCAGAUAACUGGUAUUGCAUUUUUCCUUCUGACCCUUUAAGAUCCUGAAAAUGUGGUGCCAAGACCUACCUCAGAACAGUACAGUCCCACGGCCACGAUCCUGACUCAAAGAAAUCACCUCACAGUCCACAACUGUCAAGUAAAGCACACCUUCACCUUUAUUGGUGCCAGGAGCACAUAGGGGUUAGCACCUCCCUGUAUGUGUCCAACGAUUUUUGAGAUUACAGGUCAAUUAUACCUUUUGGUUAUCUGAUAAUAGUUACCACACGCGAUGCAUACUAACGGCACAGGUUCCUGAUCUAGGGUCCAUACAGGGUGAACCCCCAGGUGGACCUCUGGUACUUAGGUGGAGGUCCUCCCCUCGCCCAAGCCCUUCUCGCCUUGUACAUGGCAGUAGCUAUUCUCUUACUGUUUAUUUACUUUUAUCUUAUGAAUACCAUCUCUGCUUGUAAGCUUAUUUACGGAAGUAGAAGUAUCGGCGCCUAAUAUGUUUUCAAAACAGGCCCCCACCUGCAAAGUCAUGCUAGCAUGUUGCGCCUAUCUAUCUCACUGCACUCACACUGUAUUUCAGCUGUCAGGCAAUCGAACUAGCAAGCAGUGCCCAAACUCCCGUUUCAAUCCUGUCCUCAGUGAAGUCCGGUGAGGAACUGUUGCUGGUCACUCUCAGUACAAUAACUGAGUUUCCAUCUUUGUAUGGAGCAACUCUUUCUUUCCCAGAUUAUUUUUGGAAAGGAAGGCAAUUGUUGAUAUAUUUCCUUUGGAACCCUGUUGCUCACGUAGAGUUUAAGCCUGGACUUUAAAGCCUCAGUUUUGCAGGAUCUGCCACAGACAGUGGGAGGUUGAGGAUUCCUCCAACAGCAGCAAAAGGGGGUCAUUUGCAGAUUGGCAGCUCUUGCUGUGCCUUCUGCUUCCUCCAGGAGCCCUGCGUUUGACAGUGCUUGCUGUGAGAUAAUGCAGAUUUCUCACCAGGUUACUAAAUUUUGGAAUCCACUGACAGGGACUUCCCUGGAUGGCGCUCUCUAAAGUGCCAGCUGGGAUUUACGUUUCUUUGCCCGUGCCAGGCUGAAUCAAAACCUCUGACCCAAGCCUGGCUAUUCAUGGACCUCGGGCAUUCAGGUAUGUGGUGGUCAGCAGUGGCCCCUUCCCCAGAGGUGAUCCCAGCGUGCCCCACCGGAUGGCUGAUGUGUGAGCCAAAAAGAGGGAGUGUUAACCCUCUGUGAACAGCAUUGGUGUGCAGCAGUGAAUGCAGUCAUUCUUUCCUGAUAAGAAAAACACUGAUUAUCAAGGAAAAAAAGAAGCUUGAGGAUAAAAAGGUCAUUCUUUCUUAUUCCUCUUAUUCCUCAGGUGGGUCUCAGGCUCCUAACACACAGCUCUCUUACCUGCCUGCUGAGAAAUGCCUGAUGCGAUGUAUACAUUGUUUUUCCCUGAGUUGCAGGUAUUGCUCAGCAAACCGAUCCACUCCAACAGAAAGGACAGCAGGCAGUGCAGCAGGUAGCCCCACGCAGGUCACCCAGAGAGCAGCUAAAAGACAGCCUUAGCCUCUGUCCUGUACUCCAGCAGGCCAGCCCCAGCUCUGAUGUGGAGGUGGCCCAGGUGUCUGAAGCAAUUUGGCAGAGGGCAGGAGUGCAGGUUGGGGGGCAGAGCAGAUGUUCCUCAGGCUUGCAUUGUGAUGGGAAGGUAGAUGGAAUGAGUCUUUUUAGCUCGAUGGCUCUCAAGUUCACUGAGGAAUUCCCUGAAGGAGACAAACCCACAUUGAUCCGCGGUUUGUCCCAGAAUUGAAGAAAGAUGUGCUGGUUUCUAUUUGCCAGAAAUUCAGGCAGGGAUAUGGAGCCAGCCCUGAGUGCUAGAACAGAAUAACUGAAGCUUUAACACCCACCUAUAACCAUUUCAGUUUUAGGCAAUUGUGCUUUGCAGGGCAUACCUUCAAUUUGGUGGCUCAGGGAUUUGCAAACAGUGAGUCAUAACUCCCUGGGGUCAAAAAUGCAGCUGCUGAGGCACCAGGCAUUGAAAAGUGUUGUCCAAGAUAAAAGCAAAGCAAACCUCACUGCCCACGCACCCUUAUCCUUCAAGGCUGAGUAUCUCUAUCACCCUCUUUGAAAACAUGGACUCAAAAUUAUACAGGCUUCUUGUGGUUGCCAUUGAUACGGAAUUUACUUCUUUUAGAGCAGACAAGAAGGGAUUGCAAAAAUCUGUGACUUGAAAGAGUUGAGGCAGAUAGAUCUGAAGCUAACAGGCAGCACCCUGUGCUUGCAGAGAGGUGGCUGGUGUUUGAGGAGGGAAUCACGCUGUGGGCCAUGUCUGUGUCCUUCCCAGGAAGGUCCCAGAAGAGCACCUGGGUCUAUGCAGACAACCCCUGGCCCUUCACAUCCAGGACGGACCUGCAGGUCCUGGAGAGCAUGCAUGCAGCCAGUGUGGUUCGUGGCCAUGGAGCACUGUCUUUGGGACACCUUUUGGCACUGACUCACUGCUAAGGAAGAAGCAACAUGCGAGUCACCUGUCCCAUAAAGUGUCCCACUCACAGUGGUCAUGUGGCACCGGGCUGCUGUCCCAUGACACAUUCUGGGUACAACAACAGUGUGACAUGGCCACCUUUGCCACAAAACGCCUGGUUGCAGAGCUCACGUGGCUGGUCCACCCCAUCGCACAACACCCAGUGCAGAGAGGAGUGGUGGCAUGCAGCCUGUGGGUCCUGCAGAGCAUUCCAGGCACUGCCACCCAUCGGCCUGUCCCCAUGGCUUUAAAGCCAUUAGUAUAAUGAGCUGAGAGGUCUCAGGCACACCAGACCUUUACUGUGAAGGCUUCAGAGCUUGGUAAGUAACAGCUUGCAGAACCUGCUGCUUUAGUAACGCACUGCACUAACAAAACCUUGAUUCCUGAAGAAAGGCCAGUUCUGCAAAGGCCUGUGCUGGCUGUGUGCACCUCUCUCUGCACCUAUUUUUAUACCAUUCCUAUGGUUUAAAAACCUUUCAGAAAUGUCCCGUGUUUAGAGGGACCCAGAUCUGAUGAAGUAACUGACUCACUCUGACCUCAGGCAAGUUACUUCACUCCCUGGAUCAUCUUCUCCACUCGAGUACUGAGAACAGUCAUAUGAAAUUACCCAGCAUACCUCCAGUGCAGCUGUAAAAAAAUAAUUAACUGGUAUUUAGCACCGGCUGUAAAAGUGGGAAGGUGUUGGUGUGGCUGGAGAACUUCCUUAGCUGGGGAGGCCAGCUGGGAGUCCUGUGGAGGACACGGGUGAUUGUCACUGUUUGUGUGACAGCCUUUUAGGAUUAUGGUCAUCAGUAGGAUGCAGGUGCCUUUCUGCUAGUCUGGACCAUCAAAACACCCCUUUACCCUGUGACACUUGAACGUUCCAUGGGCUUUGGUGUCCACCAGUCCAGGCUCCAGGUAACUGCAGUGGUGCCAAAUGCGUAAGCAUAAAGCUGCGUGGUGCCCAUCUUACACUGUGCCAGCAGCAUGUGGUUGUUGCUCCCUGCCUGUCUUACCAGGACCAGUGUAGGCAUUAAGGGGAUGUCCCCUGUGCUCAGCAUGUUGUCCAUAACCUCUGUAGGAGGGUGACUCAAAGGCAGAACAAGGGAGAGAUUUGGACCUUCACGUCUCAGGGAUUGAGCUGGCAUCUAAGGGAAGAUGCCAGCGUUGCCACUUCCCAGUAUCAAAGAGAUCACAGCUCUGCAGUGGUUUUGCGGCUCUUGCUAUUGAGCAGGGGGAAGCUGUCAAAAGACAUUUCCUUUAUAUGUGCUCGUGUCUCCUGUGUCUGGUGUGAGGGAACAUGGCAGAAUCAGACUUUGCAGCACUGCAGGUUGGCCCCCACCCACACUGUGGGGCUCAGGCUUCAAUGGCUGCAUUUAGACCCUUUAUCUGUCUUGGGUUUUUUGGUUUUGUUUUUGUUUUUUUAACACGUUCAACCUCCAGCAGCUGCAUUUUUAUCAGCAAGUACAGAUGCUGGUAAUCCCUUGCACUAUAUGCAAUGUCCUCUGCACGCAGAAGCUCAGAUUGGAGAUCUGCCAUGAGAUAACGUGAUUGCAGUUUCUUCCUACGGUUGGUAUCUGGUGAUCAAGUCUUGUCCAGAGCUAGCUUUUUGCUUUCAUGUAUUGCUGCUUAGAAAUCAGCUGAGGAUUGCAAAGGUGAAAGCAUUAGUAGAUUACCGGAGCAGUAUUUGUACUGCAGGCAGGGAUUAGAGAAGAGGGCAGACAAAAGACUACGGAUGUACUCUUGCCAGUGGAAAUGCAUCUGUGGUCAUGCAACAGCAGUAGAUUUCUGAUGAACAAAAUGCCAGCAGUAGCAGGGUGAAUCUGCUUUAGACAAGAUAAAGGAUGACAAAGCUUGGAAUACAAAAGCAAGAUAUUGUGUGUUUACUGCAUUUUAGUUCCCCUUUUUUAUUUUUGUAAGUUAGACCAUUAUAAUUAUAAUUAUAAUUUGAGGAAGCUGAUCUGGAAAGCCAGAAGAAAACAUUGCAUAGCUAGUUGAGAGAGGACAGCUCUAUGUAGGGAUCUCCAGACAAGUCAGUUUUCACUGAGCAGUACAGCCACUGUGGGCUGGUGCUACAUCUUUCUGGGCACAGAGGCAAAAAAGGGUCCCAGGACUGUGCCCAGCGAACGAGGAGGAGGGACAGCAGGACUCUGAAGAGCUGAAAUAUGCUGGAUAAGAAUCAGAAGAAUGAGGAGGCUCUCCCCAAGCUUUUAAUGUCACAGGUGGCCAGAGGUGGAGUAGCUGUGUGCCCAUAGAAGAGGGUGAAUGCAUUAGGCACUGUAGGGAAUGUCAGAUGUUCACAGUUAAUGUCAAGGAUUUGUACGUACUACAGCUAAGGUGAUGUGCUCCCUGGAUCUCUCUGCAGGCCAUUCCAGAAGGCAGCAACUAGCAUGUGUUACUGUUUCCCUGUUCACUCUGCCGUCUUAUAGACUUGGAAGAGAAAGGGAAGGUCCCUUUCCGUCCAAGAAUAAAAGCAAAGAGAUGGCAUAAUAUAUAUAUCAUGUUUUAUUGUCUGUAAUCGGAUCAGGAAGAUUAGUACAUAGAGAUCAGAUGUCACAAAGGGAAGAAAAUCAAAGCAGGAGGCAUUCUGACUUCCCAAUUUAGAGGGAAAAGUGCAUGAAAUAGAUUGAGGUUUUUGCAAUGGUGAAUGUCUUAAGACCUGUCACUAUAACUUUAAGAGUUCCACUCGUGUGAAGGUCCUUCAAGGACAGAGAAUGGAUUUCUUCAGAGCAGUGUUAGUGAUUGGAAACAAAUGCCAUUGGGUUUCAAACUGAUCCAUUUUUAUGGGUUUUCCUUGGGUUUUGUUGUUAUCAAAUAAGUGGUCAGAUGAGGAAUACAGUUUUGUUCACAGGCUCUGAAACCAAGUGUGCUGGGCUGCUCACUGCACCAUGUUCUGGUUUCUCCCAGGCCACAUGUUUAUUCUUGUGGGGAGGUGCAUGCGUGUGUGUGUCCAUAGGGCUAAGCAAAACACAAAAGCCAUGGCUCAGUACUUCCUUUUGCCACUUUCUCACCACUGUCCGUCUACUUUCAUUCUGCCACUCCAAGCGUAACUCUCAUCUGUGCCAAAAGACAGGCAUCCAGCCUGGAUAGCAAGGACCUCUCUGCUGACGUUGUCCUCCUGAGUGCCAGGAUUCAUAUGCUCUUCAAGGCAGGCAGGAUCUUGCCUCGUCAGUCUGAGAAAAUGCUGCAUUCCCACAGAGGAUGAGAAACUCAUCACAAACAGCUAUUGCAUGACACAGCUAUUGGUCAUGCCAAGAAAGCUAGCAAGUGACAUGGGAACUUGGUGUGAGGUUAUUGUCUGCGUAACAAAGGUACGUAAUAGAUGGUGCCAGGAUUGCUCUGUGGUAGAAAAGGAAGGAGGAAAUUUCACCCACAGUUUUUGAUUGCUUUUCAUAUUGUGUAAAAAGAAAGAAAAAAGGAAACUUAGGAAAAGAGAGCCAAGGAACAGUCUAACUCACCAUUAAUGCCUGCUCGUAACAGCCCAGCGUGUUGGUCUCCUGUUACAGGAAAAUGGACUGGAGCAAGCCAGUGCUCUGCUCCACCAGCUGCUGCUAAUCCCAGGGCCCACAGUCCUGUGGUGGAGCUGAGAGGAUACUUUCUUCCCCACCUGAAGAAAUCAUGUGUGUUUGGGAGGCUUUUCUCCAUCAUUUCACUAAUCAAAGCUUUUCCUCUUUUGUCCAGUCUGCGUUUUAACUAGCGCCAAGUUCUGGAGCUCUUUGUAUCUGAUGGGGCACCUUAAAAGCACUGAUAAAUGAGAUGUCACAGGCUCCCCUCUCUUGUGGGAUGGAUUGGUAACAGUCACUCAGUCCUGCAGGUGGAGAACUGAAGGUACAAAACUGGUAAUGAACUUGCUGGCAUCACACGAGGAGAGCCCAGCACCCCAGCCUCCCAUUCACCUUCUCCUAGUCUUCAUUUCCACAACUUAAACCAGCACAAGGACUGGCAGCCGUGUCCUGCCUCAUCCACACCUUCCCUUGCAUGACGUGCGCCCUGCAUGAAGCCAGUUCAGUGCACUAAGCCGGCAGAAAAUUUAACCAUGCUGCUUUUGUUGCUAGUUAUCAGCAGAUUUAGCGCUCAAGUGACUCAGGGCAGGCUCAGUCAAGUGUUAGCACUGGCAUAGUGGAGAGUGAGUGUGACGGUGUGGCGAGUACCUGAAGAUGGCUUGGGCUGGUCUGCCCUUUGCAGCAGAGGUGAUUCCCACUGCAGGCAGCACACAGGCUUCUCUGGGCAACAGAGAUGCCAAAUCAGGCUCACGCGCCUAUGCCAUUGUUGCCCGAUUUUUCUAAAGCAGGACACUGUAAGGAGACCCUGCAUGCUUUGUGGUAAGAUACUCCUCUGGUGGGACUCAGGCCAGACCCGACAGGUAACGAUGACGUGAACAGCAUGCUUGCUACGCUGUGCUGCCUUUACACUAUUGAUCUCAAACUGCUUUGUGAGCAUUAAUGAAUCAAACCUUGCAGCAUCUUUCUGAGGUGACCGUUCCUGUUUCCAGGUGACUCACAGGGAAACUCUGUUACCCUACAGAGGAGGCAGGUGAUUUGUGUAACAGUAUGUAGCAGAUUUGUCUUGGGACAGAAGGAAAAGCGAAGGUCUUCUGACUGCCAGUUCUGUGAUCUCCCUGCAAAUCACAGUCCCCAUCUCUUACAGAGCUGGAAGCAGUCUGCUGUAUAUUGCUCAGAAGUGAUUUUCUUUUUAAUGUAGCUAUAAGUAGCUUCAGCCCUUUUAGCUCUAAUUAGCUCUAAAAAUACUUCUCUUCCUUAGUCGCUUUCCUGACUUCACAGGCUAACUAAACACACAACAGUCAUGUGACUUGAAUGAAUCCAAGAGAAUAUCCAAGUAAUUGCUGAAUAAUAAAAUGAACUUGCUGCCAAUGUGCAGGGUAGAAAAUAUGGGUAUCUCUGGUAUGACCAGGGCGGCCAAUGUCCCAUGGAUUCAGGUGCUAGAGAGUUUACCUAGUCCCGUUUUACUCGCCUGCAGUAUUGCUCUUGGAACUGGUAAUUGCUCGAUUAAUCAACCUGAAUGUAUCUUUAAUUGUCAUCCUUUACUUUUUUGUCUUUUUUUUCCUGACAAAUGCUGUUGCUACAACCUCACUCCAGAUCCCAGCUGCAAAUAGAAAGAUGCCAAACCACA